AUGGAGAGUAAGGUGUCGCGGAGGCAAGAUCUGGAAAUGCGGGAAGCGUCGGAGAUCCGGAGGCGUUUUGGUGUCUCGGAUCUUUUCGUCAGAAGUCGCGUAUAUUCGAUAAUGACUACCGUUGAUGACAUUCGGCGGCGAGAUGGCAGCGGCUGCACGAAGGGUUGCUUUUUGAACCAGAUGGGCUUGAUAUGUUCUUGA